GACGAACGCUGGCGGCGUGCCUAACACAUGCAAGUCGAGCGGGGAUUUAAGUGGAAGUUCUUCAGAAUGGAGCUUUAAAUUCUAGCGGCGGACGGGUGAGUAACGCGUGAACAAUCUGUCCCGGACAGGGGGAUAACACUUGGAAACAGGUGCUAAUACCGCAUAAGACCACGGCCUCGCAUGGGGCUGAGGUAAAAGGAGCAAUCCGGUUCGGGGUGAGUUCGCGUCCGAUUAGCUAGUUGGCGAGGUAACGGCCCACCAAGGCGAGGAUCGGUAGCCGGCCUGAGAGGGUGAACGGCCACAUUGGAACUGAGAGACGGUCCAAGCUCAUACGGGAGGCAGCAGUGGAGAAUAUUGGACAAUGGGCGAAAGCCUGACCCAGCACCGCCGCGUGAGGGAAGAAGGUUUUCGGAUUGUAAACCUCUGUCCUAUGGGACGAAGGAAGUGACGGUACCAUAGGAGGAAGCCCCGGCUAACUACGUG
rnacentral:rRNA from 1 species